rnacentral:rRNA from 1 species
UACGUAGGUGGCAAGCGUUGUCCGGAUUCACUGGGUUUAAAGGGUGCGUAGGCGGCUCUAUAAGUCAGUCGUUAAAGGUAUGGGCUUAACCCAAAUAAGGCGAUUGAUACUGUGGAGCUUGAAUUCGUUGGAGGUAUCCGGAAUGCGUAGUGUAGCGGUGAAAUGCACAGAUAUUACGCAGAACACCAAUUGCGGAGGCAGGAUACUACGACGAGAUUGACGCUGAGGCACGAAAGUGUGGGGAGCGAACAGG